rnacentral:misc_RNA from 1 species
GAUGAAGAACGCAGUGAAAUGCGAUACGUAGUGUGAAUUGCAGAAUUCAGUGAAUCAUCGAAUCUUUGAACGCACAUUGCACCUCUCGGUAUUCCGGGAGGUAUGCCUGUUCGAGCGUCAUUUGUACCCUCAAGCUCUGCUUGGUGUUGGGUGUUUGUUCCGCCUCUGUGUGUGAACUCGCCUCAAAACAAUUGGCAGCCGGCGUACUUGUUUCGGAGCGCAGCACAUUUUGCGAUCCAGAUCAACGUACAGCGGCAUCCAAGAAGCCUUAUUUAACGCUCUUGACCUCGGAUCAGGUAGGGAUACCCUCUGAACUUAAGCAUAUCAAUAAGCGGAGGA